rnacentral:lncRNA from 1 species
UAUUAACAGUUUGACGCAAACAACAAGGAAGUAUGUGCUAGAAAAGAUGACAAAACAAAAGUUGGGUAUUCCCAGAUGUUGUUCCGCAAUCCCUUUCACUACACCUAAGAACAUGGUAAGCUUAUGCUAGCAAGUUAUAUUUUGAAGAAUCCAAGUGUUGUACAAACCAUGAAAAUCUGGAAUAGUGGAAAGCGAAAGCCCUGCAAUAAAAAGA